AUUGAACGCUGGCGGAAUGCUUUACACAUGCAAGUCGAACGGCAGCACGGACUUCGGUCUGGUGGCGAGUGGCGAACGGGUGAGUAAUGUAUCGGAACGUGCCCAGUCGUGGGGGAUAACGUAGUGAAAAUUACGCUAAUACCGCAUACGAUCUAUGGAUGAAAGCGGGGGAUCGCAAGACCUCGCGCGAUUGGAGCGGCCGAUAUCAGAUUAGGUAGUUGGUGGGGUAAAGGCCCACCAAGCCAACGAUCUGUAGCUGGUCUGAGAGGACGACCAGCAACACUGGGACUGAGACACGGCCCAGACUCCUACGGGAGGCAGCAGUGGGGGAUUUUGGACAAUGGGCGAAAGCCUGAUCCAGCCAUGCCGCGUGUCUGAAGAAGGCCUUCGGGUUGUAAAGGACUUUUGUCAGGGAGGAAAUCCCUAGUGCUAAUAACACUGGGGGAUGACAGUACCUGAAGAAUAAGCACCGGCUAACUACGUGCCAGCCGCCGCCGUAA
rnacentral:rRNA from 1 species